rnacentral:lncRNA from 1 species
GGGGCCCAGGGCGCGGCCCCUUUUAACGGGCGGCCGGGCGCGGCGGGGAGGGGGCGGGCCGCUACACGCCCCCGGCCCUUAAAGGGCCCGCGCGUACGGGCCGGCCUCGGGGCACGCGGCGGAGGUGGCGCUCCGGCCGUUGGCGAGACUGGCCGCGGCCCGCAGCCACCAGCGCCCCACCCCACACAGCCCAAGGCCAAGGCGGAGGAAGAGGCCUGGGGCCUAGGACGGCCUUCCACCGCGGGAAGGCCUGAUUCUAACUACAAUACUAAAACUUCGUCUGAAAGAGAAGGAAGCGUGUUUGCAGUCAUUCUCAGUAACUUUCUCCGUCUGAAGUCCAUGCCAUCACCAGCACGUGUUGGAGGAUGGGCUGCUGCCAGUGGAGAGGUGGCUACCAGACCCCCCAGGAAAGGUGCUGGCUGGGUGCUUGCAGCCACCAGCGGCCAGAAACGGAGAGGAGCCAUCUUCCUCUACAGCCUCUGGAGGGAGCAGACCAUCUUUACCUCGGCCUUGGGGCCUCCAGAAGCAUGGGAAAAUACAUGUCUGUUGUUUUAAGCCACUAAGUUUGGGGUCAUUUGUUAGAGCAGCUCUAGGAAGCCAGUGUAUCAGGGGAAGUGGUGGUGGAUGACCGGACAGGAGGGGAACUGCCCAGGACAUGGCGAAGGGCUGGGGAGGAAGCCUGCACCCCCAUUGGGGGGUCUCCUGUCUGCUCAGCGCUCUCUGGCCACUAGAGAUUUUAUCAUGUGGAUAAACACUCAUUUGGAAAGGUGGCCCGGGCCAAGGUACCUUCCACACAGUGCGUGAGAAGCUCAAGAGGGUUUCCUGGGAGCUGAAUUCCGCCCCAGGAGACGAAAGCCGAGGAGGCCCCAGUGAGCACAGGCCGUGGCAGGGGACAGACAUUACCAGGGGUCCACUGUUCGGCAUCACUGGGGGUCCUGGACCCUCCCAGAGUCUGACACACAACCAUGACUUUGCAGAAAAUGUGUGUUCAAACGUGUACACACAGGCAUUCACACGUGCACACAUACACACACUCGUGCACACAUUGUGGCAAAGGCCGCGGUCAGCCUUCUCUAACUCUGAGCUUGGUGAGCACAGAGUGCAGGGAUAGCUCAGCGUCCAGCCCAGAGUGACGAAUGUGGCAGGUGGAUACUGAUGGGGGAAACAAAGGCAAAAGAGAAAUUAUUACAUUUCCUUAACUACCUGCAGCAUGUUGACAAGUCCUCAAAACAGGCAGAGUGACAUUCCUCUAAGGUCUCAACUGCCCUGAUGUUGACACUCUGCUAAGGGCAAAAGGCCAUCCUAGCCUGACCCCCGCACCCCAUGAUCCUGUAAGUUUACUUGAACAUAUAAAAAUUCCUUUGGAAACUUCCCUUCUCUCUACCCCUGCCCCAGGAUGUUGGCAAGCAUCCCCCAAACGUAUGACCCACCAAUAUACAUCUGAAGGGUCUCAUGACUGAGAAUUUAUUAGACGGUAAUAAAUGACCUUUUCCUAAUAAUAGGUAGCACCCUCAAGGUCCUGGGAUUGAGUCCCGCUGCUUCUCCCUCUCCGUGCUGCUGCCCUACUUGUACAUGCUCUCUAUGUCAAAUAAAAUCUUAAAAAACAAACAAAAAAACAGUAUAUAAUGGACCGCUCAUGACCCCCGUGCAGCUCUUUCUGCCCAUGGGUCCCCCGUCCCUGUGCUUUCAUAAAACCACCUUUUUGCACCAAGGACAUCUCAAGAAUUAUUUCUUGGCCGUCGGCUUCGAACCCUAACGUCUUUCCUACAUCAGGUAUCACCCUAAGGGCAAGUACUGUUACAUGGAAGACACUGCUGGGUAUUUGGGCAGCUUCUGAAGCUGGGCCAUAUGACCUGGAGGAAGCAGGGAGACUGGUCAGUCUGGUUUCUUGCUUUUUACAGAACACGUGGUGUAAAGGAAAACACCUGCAACACUUUAUACCAAAGUGUCCCACAGAGUAACUCAGUUCUGACACUAUUUGCCCGGCAUGAGCGCAGACCCCCCCCCCCCCCGGGGGGCCCCC